rnacentral:tRNA from 1 species
GUUUCUGUAGUGUAGUGGUUAUCACGUUUGCCUCACACGCGAAAGGUCCCCGGUUCGAAACCGGGGCAGAAACA